rnacentral:rRNA from 1 species
GAGUUUGAUCGUGGCUCAGGAUGAACGCUGGCGGCGUGCCUAACACAUGCAAGUCGAGCGAUUCUCUUCGGAGAAGAGCAGCGGACGGGUGAGUAACGCGUGGGUAACCUGCCCUGUACACACGGAUAACAUACCGAAAGGUAUGCUAAUACGGGAUAAUAUAAGAAAUUCGCAUGUUUUUCUUAUCAAAGCUCCGGCGGUACAGGAUGGACCCGCGUCUGAUUAGCUAGUUGGUGAGGUAACGGCUCACCAAGGCCACGAUCAGUAGCCGACCUGAGAGGGUGAUCGGCCACAUUGGAACUGAGACACGGUCCAAACUCCUACGGGAGGCAGCAGUGGGGAAUAUUGCACAAUGGGCGAAAGCCUGAUGCAGCAACGCCGCGUGAGCGAUGAAGGCCUUCGGGUCGUAAAGCUCUGUCCUCAAGGAAGAUAAUGACGGUACUUGAGGAGGAAGCCCCGGCUAACUACGUGCCAGCAGCCGCCGU